CCUUUCUAAGGAUGAUCAAGAAUUGGAAGCCUUUGUAAUAAGUUUUUUCCUUUUUGAUCUCAUUAGACAUAAAGGUUUAAACUAAGUCAGUUUAAACCUUGUACAUAUGACACGAACUCUCAAUGACCCCUCGCGCAAAAGAGAAACCUCUUUGAAAAAAAGAGACCCCCCCUUCUCUUGAGGUCUUUACCUCACAGUGAGAGUGUUGCGUGAGAAGUUCAUGUUCAUGUGUUAAGUUAUACAAGCAGGCUAGCCGCCUUCGUUUCUCUUUCUUCAGAUGAUGAUCCCAAGCCUUCUGGCGAUCCACGACAAGUUCUUUGUGGGACUUUAAGAAAAGCUUUUCCAUUAAAAGAAUGCUUUCAUGUGAUAGUGCCGGGGGAGGUUUUCCGGUUUAUCCCGGAGGGCUUGUAGCUCAGUUGGUUAGAGCGCGCGCUUGAUAAGCGUGAGGUCGGAGGUUCAAGUCCUCCCAGGCCCACCAUAUCCAUCCAUAGAAGAGCGCUUAGAAAGCUUGAAAAGAGCUUUGCUGUAAAGUUUGAAAAGACUUGUUUAUCGCUUUCUGUAAAAUUUGGCGUUUGUCUGUUUUUAGAAGCGGUCGAAACUGAAAGCAUUUUGAGAACAAGAGUCUUUGAAUAGGAAGGACCAUAAAGUUCAAGAGGUUCACAUGGUUUAGAGUUAAAUUGUUUAGGAUUAGAAUGUUCUGUGUUAAAAUGCUGCGAUAUAAAGGUUUCGGAUAAAUGAUUUCGUUUUGGGGGCCGUAGCUCAGCUGGGAGAGCACCUGCUUUGCAAGCAGGGGGUCGUCGGUUCGAUCCCGUCCGGCUCCACCAUUUGAUCAUCAUCAUUGUUGUGAGAACAUGUUUCAGUGAGAGGUUGAUUAACCUUUCGCUUGUUCUAUUGAAAUUGUGAAGAGAAGAUAUAUUCAGACAUGUUUGUUUUGAACUGUUUGUUUUGAGGUCAAGAGUUUUUCUCAUGAGAAAUCGUUAUGAGGAAUACUUGUUAAAAAUGCUUUCAGAAAAUAAUUUAGAAAGUAGAUCUAAAAAACGAAUGGGUCUUUUGUUUGUUUUGCAACUGUUGAACGCGCUGUUUUUUUUAUAAAGAGCUGUUCAGAAGUGUCAAAAAGUCAUGCAACGAGGAAACUGUGUAAGCUAGAAAGCAUAAGCAGGAAAUCAAGUUGAGUUGUAUGAGAGGUUGCAAAGAGAAGCCAAAGAGAGGAAUCAAAAGGAACAUAGUGUCGCUAAGGGAACGCUCAAAGCCCUUGCUUAUGAUUGGAAGCUUAACCGCGCCUUUGAAUAUAUCUCGAGAAGCUGGUCUUUUCUGCUGAUAUUUAUGUUU
rnacentral:tRNA from 1 species